GGAAUCUUCCACAAUGGGCGAAAGCCUGAUGGAGCAACGCCGCGUGUGUGAUGAAGGGUUUCGGCUCGUAAAACACUGUUGUAAGAGAAGAAUGACAUUGAGAGUAACUGUUCAAUGUGUGACGGUAUCUUACCAGAAAGGAACGGCUAAAUACGUGCCAN
rnacentral:rRNA from 1 species